AAUAUUUUAAACACUUUGCCUAAAAAUAAAAAUCUAAGGCGUUAUACGUUUGUAUUUUUUCUAAAAAAAAAGUAGCACGUAUAUCUUUUCAGAAGCACCGCAACUAGCUAGCACCUGCGAGACGACGCCCACAUACUGUGGCUGGAUUCUACGUCAAUCUUUGUUUAUUCAAAAUUCGGUUUAUGAAGGAUAUGGCUGCCUAAAAAUAUGACAUCUGACGUACUGCGAAACUUGACAAAGAUCAUUUUCCGUCUCUUAUUGUAUAUGUUGUAUAUUUCUAUGCAGAGCGAUUUUUUUGCAUUCAACUGCCGGGUGCGCACAUAUGUAAUUGGCUUUAAUUGGACAAAUUCUUUUCAGACAGUUUACAGCGUCUACUUCGUCACGCAGCAACGCUGAGUGAAUGGAAAUUUGUGAAAAGCUAGCUGCGACACGCUCACUGGCAUUGGUUGAAACGCCUCUAAAGUAGGCCCCAGCAUGUGCUACGGAAAUUAAUAAUGUGAAUCCGGCAAACAUCCAUUAACGGUAUUGAUAACUGUAUUUCC